UCUGGGUCAAAGCACCUGCAAGACACAGGAGAAAAAGAACAUCCAAAUUCAGAAGGCGACUAAUCCAGAGCUGAGCGCUCCUCUGAACCCAUCAUCACUAAGGUCAACUGGCUCCUGCUGAAAAUUUUCAGACCACACUUACCUGACUUCUGAGUCACGGAUUUUCAUCAAUUCUCCAUGGGCCUAUGACUCCAAGCAGAUCAAGAACCACUGACCUAGACAAUUGCAGGCACGGAAGGAAAUCUACCUGCUGUGCAGACAAAGUUUUAAUCAACGAACACAAAUAGCCAAGCAACCGACUUUCUGAAAAAUGAGUCCACUAUUUACUUUAAAGGAGUAGUCUCUAAAUGGGAAAUCAUUGCCUAUCCUCAAAAAGCAUGGUUACGCACUGAUUCUACAGAAGUAAACUCUGAUGCUAGGAGUGGAGGAGACUCUGAAAGAAAUCAAGCUUUCUGCUUCUUCCCUCCCAGAGGAUCUUUUCAAGUUAAUAUCCCUGAAAGCCUAAAACAAAGCCACUUACAGACACAAGGAAUUGAAAGAACCCUAAAAAGCAGACAUUGUUAUCAUCUCCAUUUUACUGAAGAGGAAACCUAGGUUUAAGGAAGUUGAAAACCUGAUGAUUUGAAGAUAGAACUUGAAUUCAGGUCAUCUGAUGCUGGACUGAUGGUCUUUGUGUCACUCUACAACACUGUAAUAUUCCUUCCUUUGUAUCUGUCCUAGUUUGGUUUUCCAUAGAAGUUGACCCUGAGAAAAGGAUUUGAGUGGAAAUUUGGGGAGGUGCAUGGAAAACCUGAGGAGUAGGGAUGAGAAAAGCAUCCAGUAAGGAGUGAUAUUAAGUCACUAUAUGCAAAUGGGCCUUAAUAUCUCAGGUAAAUACUGGAAAUGGAGAUAUUUGGAGCAUUUGGAGAUUGGGCCUUUAUAGAGGUGAUUAAGCUAAAAUGAGCAUGUUAGAGUGGGCCCUAAUCCAAUCUGUCAUGUCCUUAUAAGAAGAAGAAAUCUGGACACGCAAAGAGACAUCAGGGAUGUGCACACAGAGGAAAGACCAUGUGAGGACGCAAUGAAAAGGCAAGCCAAGGAGAGAGGCCUCAGAAGAAACCAUACUUGCCAACAGCUUGACCUUGGACUUUUACCCUCCCGAACUGUGAGACAAUAAAUGUCUAUCAUUUAAGCCACCCAGUCUGUGGUAUUUUGUUAUGGCAGCAAUUGCAAAAGAAUACAUGAUGGCUCAGAAAUUUUCCUCCCAAGUAGUAAGGGAGCUGGAAUAAAUGUUCUUAAG